CUUUGUUUUCGUUCAGUUCACCUCCAAGACGAGCUCAUAGUCCUCUUAGAAGGUCUCCUAUGGCUAUUGGUCGUAUGCGUACUCCUCUUAUUCGUACAACUGCUUGCUCACGACGGAGAGGCUGAGCACCAGUUGGAAGACGUGGGCGGUCAUCAUCCUACUCUGGAUCACCUAGUCCACGCAAGUUACCUCGGAGAUCAAGGAGUUGUAGCCCAAGAAGGCCCAUUAAAGGAAGAAGCAGUAGCAACAGCAGCCGAAGUAGUUCUCCACU